UUCGCUGGCGACUCUUCGAGGAACCGGGGAAUUGAGCGGCGGACGGGUGAGUAACACGUGGGCAACCUGCCCUCUAGACGGGGAUAACUCCGGGAAACCGGAGCUAAUACCCGAUAAUCAAGCAGAUCACCUGAUCUGCUUGUGAAAGCAUGGCCUUCGGGCCAUGCACUGGAGGAUGGGCCCGCGGCGUAUUAGCUAGUUGGAGAGGUAAGGGCUCCCCAAGGCGACGAUACGUAGCCGACCUGAGAGGGUGAUCGGCCACACUGGGACUGAGACACGGCCCAGACUCCUACGGGAGGCAGCAGUAGGGAAUCAUCCGCAAUGGACGAAAGUCUGACGGUGCAACGCCGCGUGAGUGAUGAAGGUUUUCGGAUCGUAAAGCUCUGUUGUGAGGGAAGAACAAGGGCGGUUCUAACAGGGCCGCCCCCUGACGGUACCUCCCCAGAAAGCCCCGGCCUAAUUACUUGCCACCAGCCGCGGUACUAUCCAGGGGGCAUGCGUUGUCCCGAACUAUUGGGCGAUAAAGCUCGCACAUGCCGCUCCUUAAUUCUGACUCGAAAACCCCCAGCGUACCAUCCUUCACGUCACCUUGCGAAAACUGCUGGCACCGGCCCUGCUCCCUCAUUUUAACCUCUCUUCCCACUCCUUUCUCUCACUCUCUCCUUAUCUCCUCUUUCCCUAAAUACCUCUCUUGGUAUUCUUCCAUCCACCUCCUAACUCAUUUCUCUCUGCAUCUCCCCAAUUACCUACUCCUCUUAUAUAUGUUCUCUUUUCCACUUCCUACCCAUUCCUCUUACUCUUCUACCUCUACCACUCUUCCACUCUUCUGCCCACAAUCUAAUUCACCCCCUUCCAUUUCAUCUACACUCUCCAUGUCUAUCUCAUCUAUCUUUUCAGCAUACCUAUCCUACAUAUCCCCUCUUCCCUCCCACCUCG
rnacentral:rRNA from 1 species